GCCAGGCAUGGUGGCACGUGCCUGUAGUCCCAGCUACUCGGGAGGCUGAGGUGGGAAGAUCACUUGAGCCCAGGAGUUCUGGGCUGCAGAGAGCUAUGCCAAUCGGUUGUCCACACUAAGUUCGGCAUCAAUAUGGUGACCUCCCGGGAGUGAGGGACCACCAGUUUGCCUAAGGAGGGGUGAACUGGCCCAGGUUGGAAACAGAGAAGGUCAAAACUCCCACGCGGAUCAGUAGUGGGAUCGUGCCUGUGAAUAGCCACUGAACUCCAGCCUGGGCAACAUAGCGAGACCCCAUCUCUU
ensembl:misc_RNA Metazoa_SRP Metazoan signal recognition particle RNA